CCUUCGAUAGCUCAGCUGGUAGAGCAGUGGGCUGUAGGUCUAAUCAAGCACUCCUUAAGUUGCUGGUUUGAUUCUGGCUCAAAGGA
rnacentral:tRNA from 1 species